GAGCGGCGGACGGGUGAGUAACGCGUGGGUAACCUGCCUCAUACAGGGGGAUAACAGUUAGAAAUGACUGCUAAUACCGCAUAAGACCACGGUACCGCAUGGUACAGUGGUAAAAACUCCGGUGGUAUGAGAUGGACCCGCGUCUGAUUAGGUAGUUGGUGGGGUAACGGCCUACCAAGCCGACGAUCAGUAGCCGACCUGAGAGGGUGACCGGCCACAUUGGGACUGAGAUACGGCCCAGACUCCUACGGGAGGCAGCAGUGGGGAAUUUUGCGCAAUGGGGGCAACCCUGACGCAGCAACGCCGCGUGCGGGACGAAGGCGUCCGCGUCGUAAACCGCUUUCAGCGGGGAACACCAAUCGAGGGUACCCGCAGAAGAAGCCCCGGCUAAAUACGUGCCAGCAGCCGCGGUAAUACGUAUGGGGCGAGCGUUAUCCGGAUUCAUUGGGCGUAAAGCGCGCGUAGGCGGAGCGCUAAGCGGGACCUCUAACCCGAGGGCUCAACCCCCGGCCGGGUCCCGAACUGGCGCUCUCGAGUGCGGUAGGGGAGAGCGGAAUUCCCGGUGUAGCGGUGGAAUGCGCAGAUAUCGGGAAGAACACCGACGGCGAAGGCAGCUCUCUGGGCCGAAACUGACGCUGAGGCGCGAAAGCUGGGGGAGCGAACAGGAUUAGAUACCCUGGUAGUCCCAGCCGUAAACGAUGGGCGCUAGGUGUGGGGGGAGCAGAUCCCCCGUGCCGCAGCCAACGCAUUAAGCGCCCCGCCUGGGGAGUACGGCCGCAAGGGGUAAAACUCAAAGGAAAUUGAUGGGGGCCCGCACAAGCAGCGGAGCAUGUGGGUUUAAUUGGAAAGCAACGCGAAGAACCUUACCAGGGCUUGACAUGCAAGGGUGAAGCGGCGGAGACGCUGUGGCCGAGAGGAGCCUGCACAGGUGGUGCAUGGCUGUCGUCAGCCCGUGUCGUGAGAUGUUGGGUUAAGUCCCGCAACGAGCGCAACCCCUGCCCCGUGUUGCCAGCAUUCAGUUGGGGACUCGCGGGGGACUGCCGGCGUCAAGCCGGAGGAAGGUGGGGACGACGUCAAGUCAUCAUGCCCCUUAUGCCCUGGGCCGCACACGUGCUACAAUGGCCGGUACAGAGGGUUGCGACCCCGCGAGGGGGAGCGGAUCCCGCAAAGCCGGCCCCAGUUCGGAUCGGAGGCUGCAACCCGCCUCCGUGAAGCCGGAGUUGCUAGUAAUCGCGGAUCAGCACGCCGCGGUGAAUACGUUCCCGGGCCUUGCACACACCGCCCGUCA
rnacentral:rRNA from 1 species